UGAAGUCUGAAAUUCGACUUCAUGAAGCUGGAAUUGCUAGUAAUGGCAGGUCAGCAUACUGCCGUGAAUACGUUCCCGGGCCUUGUACACACCGCCCGUCACACCAUGAGAGUUGGGAAUACCCGAAGCCUGUGAGCUAACUUUUUAAGAGGCAGCAGUCGAAGGUAGAAUCAAUGAUUGGGGUGAAGUCGUAACAAGGUAAC
rnacentral:rRNA from 1 species